rnacentral:ncRNA from 1 species
GUCAGUUCGCCACCGGGUGAACUUUAAAGUGUCUGGCAGUCCGUUAGGUCUUAGAAGGAGUGCCAUGGCACUUUUUAUUAUGC